CUCCUUUCUCUAAGUCUAGCCUCUACUAGGCUUUGUCUGUGUCCACAUGCGAUGUGGAAUUAUUAAAUGUUCAGACAUAGCCUAAAAGAGGUUAGGUGAAGCAGGAAGUA
rnacentral:pre_miRNA from 1 species